rnacentral:SRP_RNA from 1 species
GCUGAGCGCGGUGGCAUGCCUGUAGUCCCAGCUACUCCGGAGGCUGAGGUGGGAGGAUCGCUUGAGCCCAGGAGUUCUGGGCUGUAGUGCGCUAUGCUGAUUGGGUGUCCGCACUAAGUUCGGCAUCAAUAUGGUGACCUCCCGGGAGCAGGGGACCACCAGGUUGCCUAAGGAGGCGUGAACCAGCCCAGGUCGGAAAUGGAGCAGGUCAAAGCUCCCGUGCUGAUCAGUAGUGGGAUCGAGCCUGUGAAUAGCCACUGCACUCCAGCCUGGGCAACAUAGUGAGACCCCAUCUCU